CAGCAUGACAUAUUUUGUAAGCUGCAGAAAGUUCAUCUACUAAACACAGGCAGAAAUGAAAUGACUAAUUCUGGUAAAUGAAAACUUAAAGAGCUUUAAGGUUCCACGUGUGAAAAUUACAGCUUGAAGAUCACAGAAGGCUCCAAAUGAAAACCCACAAGCUCACAUUACUUAUAAUUGUUGGACAACACAAUAUGGACCAGAUGGCUUCAUUAUUCUGUGUUUCCCAUUUUGAAUUUUAAAUGUUGUGUUGGACUGCCUGUCAGUGGCCAGCUGCGUCCUAGAGGAGAGGAUGCAGCCAGACCACAGUUCAAAGAUCCCAGGCCAGGCACCAUGGACAUAUUGCUGUCCAGUUAUUGUGUGCAUAUGUGCAUGAACUUCUCUAGGAUAGAUACCUGGGAGGAAAAAAAACUGGGUGAUGGGGAUUAUCUUCAACUUUACAAGGUUCCCAUUCCCUUACCAGAGUUUCAUAGGAUCACCUCCUAAAUCACCAGGAACCCCACCUGAGGCAAAGGCAAGAAAAGUAACAGAAAGUUGAAGACCUAAAGCAUGUCAGUGGUUGAAACUGGACUUCAGCAUGUAGAAACCAGUUCACUCUGUUCAUCACCAUUUGGCCUUCACUUUGGCAUCAGAGACCUGUGGAAAGUCACUUCCUUUUCUGAGCCUCACUUUUUCUAGUGUCUA